UCUGACGACUUUAUUUAGGCUUCAAAAUGUAUACAUGUUGUGUUAACAUGUAAAGAUAAUCUUGAUAGACAAAACGUGUAAGUGUCAUAACCCUUUGUUAAACACAGAGCUUAUUUUGUGUAAUUUUCCAAAAGUCUAUGGGAAAAAUGCAUAGGCUUUCGAUCAAGGGAACCUGUGCGCCGCUAACUUCCGGGUUAGCCUACAAAAACACGUCAUCUCUGAGGUACUCUAUAGGCACGUAGUUUUUCUUUACAAAGUGCCAUCUGCCAACUACUGGCCUGCAUGCAUAAUACAGCGUUUUUAAUCAUUUUCGCAGAUCCAUGUGAUCGGGGAUCGUUUUGAAAAUGUUGUCUUCUGUACGUGGAAAAUUGCAAAGGACAUUUUAGGACAUUGUUGUCACGUACCCUUAGUUUCAAAUAGACGACUUUGCUUUGAUGGGAGUGGAUCGGUUGAGGUUUCCAAUUAAUUCUGCAGCCCUAACACCCAUAACAUAACCAACUAUAAGUAGCCUAUUUGCUGGUUGAUUAAAUACUAUAGAAGUUCAAUGACCAAAGACUUCCAUCACAUUUAAGUCUGUACUCAAUGACAGUACUGUGCUUUAGUUCCAUCCUUCUGUCAAACCCAAUUAUAGUACUGCACAGCUACAGCAAUAUUUUAUGUCAGUCAUAUUUCCUCACAUGUAAUCAGCAACAACUUGUGUAAAUACAUAUUUGUUUUUAUUUUUAUAGUUUAUCAUUUAUUCAUCAUGUUCUUAAUGAAUCCUGUUCUUUCUUGCGGAGUUAGUGGUCAUAAGUCUCAUGCAAAAACAUAAUCAAAAUGCAAAUGAAGAGUGAAAACUAAUAACCAAAGACAAAUAUCAGGCGUGUUUGGGGAGCAGAGGGUAGGGGAGGGAGGUUGUCACACACAAAUAAAUCAUAUGGAGAAGCCAAUAAACCGCAGCAGAACGAGUAUGAAUGCUGUCUUGUGCCACGAAAUAUUAGGCUGUGCAAGUAAUCCGUACAGACGACGGACACCUGGAAUGCGAAGCAGCAUCGAUGGCCAACUCGUGUCAAGCCGUCAGCUCCACUGGCCCGAGAGACCAGUGUGUUUGAUUGAUGAGCGGGAAGCGCGAGGAGACCUGCGCAGAAUUAAUGUCGCGUGCACUUAAAGUGCGCAUGCGCUGAUUCGAAGCGAUUCCCUCCCAAUGCUUGUUCAGACAUUUUAACGUCUUUUUUUAAAAAAUUUAAAGAUUUUUGCAUGUUAUUUUUCCCUUUUUAGAUUUGCUUUGAUGUUUUAACGGUUUACCAUAGUUUCUGCUGAAAUACACUGUUACAAACUUAGGCUGUCACAUUUAAAAAAGAAUGUCCUUCAAACAAAGCUUUUUGAUUUGUUAUUACGUUUUUCAUGACAAUAUAAAAACGGCAGCUUAUACCAAGUUAAAUCAGUUUUGUGGCUUUUUCACACUGUUUUUACCCCCCUUUUAACCUAUGGAAACUAUGCUUUUGCAGUGUUAACCCUGAAUUAUGGUCCCCCAAACGUUACAAUAUCAAGGAAAUCAAAGUGAGCCAGCUGUACAUUUCAUGUGAACUCCGGUGCAGUUCAGGUAUUCAAGCAAAUGAACAUUCAGCAGAUCAUCUCCGUUUGUAUUCUUUGAGUUUGGAAAAGCUUGAGGUGAAAGACUCUCCUGAGAGUGUGUGACCCAGGCUCCUCACACAUCUGAUGAGAGACCUAAUAGUGUCAUAUCCAGCAGAGUGAGGAGGAUGCCAAGAGCAAAAUCUACCCGGACAUUAGAAUUUCCCAGAGAGAUAAUGAGCUUUUUGUGAGGGGUGAAAGGGGCUCCCUUAAUCUGGUUCACACAGUCUCUACCUUUGGUGUAGCGCUGCUACAUUUGAGCCAGGUCUGAUUGAAGAGGGCAGCGGGUCAAUGGAUGGAUGGAUAGAUGUAGGGCAAAAAGGAGGAGAGGACAGAGGAAUGGCCAGAGGGGAGGUGUAAAGGGGAGCGUGUGGGGCAUCCCAGGCUGAAGCUUUGAGGAUUAACGGGGUGACUUCUCUUGUGGAAUGUUCAGCCGACAGCCAAGACCCUCCUACUCUGUCAGACAGGUGCACGACAGACCCAAAAAAUGAUAAGAGUGAAAGAAGAAAAUUCAAAAGGGGAAAAUAAUGUUAUGCACUGAUGAGUGCUUCACUAAACACUUAUCUUUCAAUAGCUCUCAACCAUUUAAAAUCAAACAGGGCUGUUUUGACUGAACUGAUCAGAGCUUUCAAAUACAGAACGAAACAUUAAUUUUGUUUAUUAAUGAAAACUGAGAGAUUAAAUCUCUCAAAGCAGCUUUAUUUUUUCUUUCUUUGCCUCAAAUAUACAAUGCUUGAAUGAAAAUGAGGUCAGUAUGAUAAACUGUCAUUAUAGGUGGAAACAACUUGAUAAUAUACUGUGAGAAGGUAAGUGUAGUGUUCUGUAAUUUUCUGACAAAUCAUCUUGUUGUCAUCAUUUGGAUACAUACAGUGCCAGAAACUGUAAAGCUAUGUUUAUUCAACUUUUAUGACUCUUAAUUGUAUGCUAGAAGAUUUGAAACACAGUCCUGUUGUACAUACUUAAUGUGCAUUCUUGCAUUACAUUGCGGCGCUAACAAACGUUAGUACUCAAGGGGACGAUGUUAUGAAGCUAGCAAUAAACAUUGGCAGUAACUAACCCCCAGAAGACAGUUUGUUGUAUUGUUAAUAUAUGAAAUAGAGACCCUUGUGGCAAUGCUGAGAAUAUAUAUAUAUAUAUAUAUACAGUAUCUCACAGAAGUGAGUACACCCCUCACAUUUUUGUAAAUAUUUUAUUAUAUCUUUUCAUGUGACAACACUGAAGAAAUGACACUUUGCUACAAUGUAAAGUAGUGAGUGUACAGCUUGUAUAACAGUGUAAAUUUGCUGUCCCCUCAAAAUAACUCCACACACAGCUAUUAAUGUCUAAACCGCUGGCCACAAAAGUGAGUACACCCCUAAGUGAAAAUGUCCAAAUUCAGGAACUUUUUAUUUGAACUUUUUAUUUAAAUAAACAUUUAAAUAAAAAGUUAUUUGUGUGACCGCAUAUUGCUGAUAAUUGCCUUUCAUUCACUUAAUGGAGUUUGUGGUUACAGUUUCAUCGGAUCGUGAUCCUAAAUGUCGGAUACAACUGACCAAUAUUGAUUAGCCUACAUCUUGGAUAAAAUUCGCAACUACAACACACAUAUUCAUGCACAAAUGCAGGUAUGUUCUACAUGUCUAAAGUACAGAAAGAAUAAACUGAUUGAUUUCACUUAUCAACUUAUAAUCUGGAUGUAUAAUAAACCAUAGUAAAAAUUUAUUUACAUCUCUCGACAAAAAGGUUUUUGCAGGUUUUAAUAAAAUGUUAUUUAUUAACAGGAGUCAUAAUAACCAUAUUUCCAGUACGUGCCUCAGGCUUGCAUGGUAUCGUCAACUCACUCAUCAGACUCCUCGGUAAUCCUCGGCAAACCUCGACAGCCAGUUGAACCGGCUCAUUCGGUUCUUUUUGAGUCCUCGGUAAUCCUCUGCAAACUUCGACAGUUGGUUGAACCGGCUCAAUCGGUUGUUUUUGAGUCGGACGUGCUACUUCAGCUUGUGCGUCUUGCGUCAUUAACCCGGAACUAAAGUUCGAUUCAGUUCGAUUAGUCAACCGGCUCGACCGGUUACUUCCUGAGAACCGGUUUCAACCGGCUCAAAAGAACAAUUCGUUCAAGAACUGAACAUCACUAUUAGGUAUUCCAUACCAGCCGACAAAGACCCCAAUAACAACAUAAUGAUCAGCAUCUGUCCUACCCUAUAAAUCAUUUUGAGUGAACUCUAUAUGAUCCGUAAUGUCUUAAUACAAUCUAAAGAACACAUAGUUAUUAUGGUAACAAGAACAGAGAGGAAAGGACAUUUCUCUGCCCAUAAUUUAAGGUUGGGAAUGCUGUGGCUUGCCUGUGCUUGUGCUAAAUUUCAAGCAUUGCAUUGCAAACAAAUAGGAGAUAAAUUAAGUCACAGUCAUGACCUUGCAGGCAGACAACGUUUUCACAGAUGUCUUAGUAUUUAUACUAAUGAAAGAGAUAGAUAUAAGUAUUUCAAGUUAUUUUUUAGCUCAUAAAACAGCUAUGGAUCUAAAUUCUCUUCCAGAAUUGCUUUCUUUUUAAUCUCAAGGUCCUCAUUGGGGAAGAUAACAGAUUGUUUGGGGGAGCGUUUUCUUGAUAAGAAACCUGUGAAAUGGGACUCCUUGUUUUUGGAUUCAGCUCUUCUUGCGUGAAUAGUCCUGUUAUCCUGCUGUUUGAGGGAAAAGGAGGGGUUAGUGUGAAUUUAAACUCAUUUCUAUUGUGCCAUCAGAUAGUACUGAUGGUUUAAUUACUUUCUGUAAACUCCAUGAGCAGAUUUGAUAUCAGAUUAAAGAUGGCCGAGAAGAUGGCCUCAGGCUGAAGUGGGUGCAGAUCCGUCUCGAAAUCCGUCAACACUUUCUUUGGUCCAAAGGUUCUUAUCAGUCGCAGUGUGACAUAUCUUGAUCGGACCAAAUAGUUUUCCCUCUGACCCCCAAGGGUCAGCUUUACCUUAUCAACUUUAAUGUCCACAUGCACUGCUGGAGGAGUCGGAGGCCUCGGGUUAUGUGCAGUUUAUCUUGGUUGACACUCCCUUGUUUUUAUUUAAAUCAGUUAUAGGAAUUCGCAGAAGGUUCACAGUUUUAUUUGUAGAAAACCUCCUACAUUUAUAAGAGCUUUCUUUUUCUUACAUCAAUAGGAGGAGAUGGUUUCAAGAAGCUCUGCUGGGUGAUACAGAACAGGAAUGGCUCUCAGCGUGAAGAUCGGCCCAGAUCUCUUCCCACACACCUCUUCACACAGCUGCAGUAAACUACAGAACGUGGAAUUGUUCAGACAUGGUUUGCAACUUACCAUAGAAUGACCCAGGAACUAAGACAGAGAGAGGAGCCUGUGACGCACCUGACAGUAACCUGAUCUGUGUUGGAGAGAAUCAUGCCAUUGACUCUGAGGGAUGCUGGUUAUGUUGACAGAGACACUACGGCAUUUGUCCGUGUUAAAAUCAGAGAGUGUGCCUCCUAAUCUCACAGAUCCAGCACCAGAUCUGCUUAUCAUCAUGAAUUACACCCAGAGGUAAAGGAAUGAGAUACAACGAGUGCACUAGGAUGCAAUCACUAGAAGUUCAGCUCAAGAUGCCCGAAACAGAGGAAUGUAGUGAGAGAAAAGUGGACAUGUGAGUAAAAGAAAAAGUGAGUAAGAAGUGUAAGACAAGAGAAACAUUCAUGGCCCCAUUAGGAGAGUAAAUGUGCUCCAAUCACUGCCAGGCGACCUGCCCCAAGAACAGAGAAAGAGAGAGAGGAGGAUGAUGGGAAGGUAGCACUUCCAUGCGUGCUCUAAUGCGCUGUCUGGCACAUUGCCUGAGGCUUUGUUAACUCAAUACCACAUUUGGCACUGGUCAGAAAUCCACAGCAUCACUCCAUUGCACUCCUGCAGCUCA